CCUGGUCAUAUAGGACCGUCAUCAACAGUGUUUCCUCUAUGAUGCUGAGAAUUCAGCCCAUAUAGGGAAGAAAGAACACCCCCGCUUUCAGAUGUUCAAAUGUGACGUUGGUGCUUAUUUGGUAAGGGAACUAGAGAGUUAACGCUAGGGGCUGCUCUGAUUGGAUUACGGGAGGGUUUAGCGAGUGAGUGAGAGGAGAAGCAGAGGAAACGAUCGUGGUGACAGUUGCUAUCAAGUAAAGACAGUAAAACACGUAACGUGCAGCAGCGAGAGUUUACCGAGGACCUGAGCCCUAGGACCAUGCCCCAGGACUACCUGACAUGAUGACUCCUUGCUGUCCCCAGUCCACCUGGCCAUGCUGCUGCUCCAGUUUCAACUGGCCUGGGCCCUAGGACCAUGUCCCAGGACUACCUGACAUGAUGACUCCUUGCUGUCCCCAGUCCACCUGGCCAUGCUGCUGCUCCUGUUUCAACUGUUCUGCCUUAUUAUUAUUCGACCAUGCUGGUCAUUUAUGAACAUUUGAACAUCUUGGCCAUGUUCUGUUAUAAUCUCCACCCGGCACAGCCAGAAGAGGACUGGCCACCCCACAUAGCCUGGUUCCUCUCUAGGUUUCUUCCUAGGUUUUGGCCUUUCUAGGGAGUUUUUCCUAGCCACCGUGCUUUUACACCUGCAUUGCUUGCUGUUUGGGGUUUUAGAGCGGGUUUCUGUACAGCACUUUGAGAUAUCAGCUGAUGUACAAAGGGCUAUAUAAAUACAUUUGAUUUGAUUUGAUUUUAAUUUUAAUUAGUUAUUUUCACCUCCUAUGAGCAGGUUUCCUGCUGCAGUGCCAGGGUGUCCAGGAUAACAUAAGUGGAAAUCCUACAAAAUAUUGUCAUUCAUGUGUGCAAGUAUCUCCAGUAGGCCUAUUCACUGGAACCACAAACAAGGGAAGACUGUCUGAAGGGCAUCAAAUUCUCUGAUCUUACAUUAAACCAUUUGUGAACCACGA